GACAGAGGGUGCAAGCGUUGUUCGGAAUUACUGGGCGUAAAGCGCGUGUAGGCGGCUCGGAAAGUCGGAUGUGAAAGCCCUGGGCUUAACCUAGGAAGUGCAUUCGAAACUCCCGAGCUUGAGUUCUGGAGAGGAAGGCGGAAUUCUCGGUGUAGAGGUGAAAUUCGUAGGUAUCGAGAGGAACACCGGUGGCGAAGGCGGCCUUCUGGACAGUGACUGACGCUGAGACGCGAAAGCGUGGGGAGCAAACAGG
rnacentral:rRNA from 1 species